GGAGUUGUGGCUCAGUGGUAGAGCACUCGAAUAGCACAUGGGAGGCCCUGGGCUCAAUUCUCAGCACCA
rnacentral:tRNA from 1 species